AAGAUCUUCCCUUGGGUCAAGCAGAGCAGCUUUCUAAUCCAUCUUCUAUGGGGGAGUCUUUCAUGGACUUGAAGGCAACUCUAAGUUUUCUCCUUCCUUGAGGAAUUACUGCAUGAAAUACUCUGAAGCUGCCACUUGGGUUUUAUAAACUGGAGA
rnacentral:lncRNA from 1 species